GAAAAACCAGAGCCUCGGUAAACUGCUAGGUGAUUAUCUGAAGCGGGUUCUCAAUUAAUGCUGGAAUGCAGUGGUGUGAUCUCAGCUGACUGCAACCUCCAACUCCCAGGUUCAAGUGAUUCUCCUGCCUCAACCUCCUGAGUAGCUGGCAUUACAGAAAAUAUAAAGCUAAUUAGGUUUUAAAACUUCAAAGGAGAGCACUAAAUUCAUGGAAAUAAAUGCUAUCCCUUCUAAUUCAGGAG
rnacentral:lncRNA from 1 species